GACGAAGGAUGCAAGCGUUAUCCGGAUUCAUUGGGUUUAAAGGGAGCGUAGGUGGCCUUAUAAGUCAGUGGUGAAAUCUCUCGGCUUAACUGAGAAAUUGCCAUUGAUACUGUAGGGCUUGAGUACAGUUGCUGUGGGCGGAAUAUGACAUGUAGUGGUGAAAUACAUAGAGAUGUCAUAGAACACCGAUUGCGAAGGCAGCUUACUAUGGUGUCAUUGACGCUGAGGCACGAAAGCGUGGGGAUCAAACAGG
rnacentral:rRNA from 1 species